rnacentral:rRNA from 1 species
AGAGCGAACGCUGGCGGCAGGCCUAACACAUGCAAGUCGAACGGACCCUUCGGGGUUAGUGGCGGACGGGUGAGUAACACGUGGGAACGUGCCUUUAGGUUCGGAAUAGCUCCUGGAAACGGGUGGUAAUGCCGAAUGCGCCCUUCGGGGGAAAGAUUUAUCGCCUUUAGAGCGGCCCGCGUCUGAUUAGCUUGUUGGUGAGGUAAUGGCUCACCAAGGCUACGAUCAGUAGCUGGUCUGAGAGGAUGACCAGCCACAUUGGGACUGAGACACGGCCCAAACUCCUACGGGAGGACAGCAAAUGGGGAAUCGUUCGCGACGAAGUGGGAACGAAAGGCCUAGACGACGACGCCAAUCGGCCGCGUGUAUGAAUGGAAGGUCUAGGUAUAUAAAAUACUUACGACGGUAGAAGAAUAAUGACGUAGUAGACCGGAGAAACGAACGCCCCGGACUAACCUUCGUCGACCACGACACGCCGGAC